CUGGCUGGAUGCAACGUUUUGCUUCUUACCUUGGUCCUGUUGGAAAGAGAACAGACCUGACACUGCAAAAUUAACUGCACAGCUGAGGACCUGGUUUUGUCUUUAUGAGUAUAAUUUAUUCAUCAAGGUCAUGACCUCGUGAUUUGUGAGUUCGAGCCCCCAAGUGGGCUCCAUGCUGAAGAAAAAGAAAUCUGAGAAGGAACAAUUCCAAAGUUGCUUACGACAGCCACGUCUAAAUACCCUACCUCUUCCAGCCACCUGUCCUCUGGGGGAAGCCUCUGCAACCGGUUUUUCGUCAGCUCAAGCUGCAGGCCAUCGAAUCUGCACUUAAACCAGCGAUGGGCUUCUUCCAGGUUAGCUGUUAUCUGGACACAUAAGUGUUACCGUUAAACAUGACAACAAAGAAACAGGGGCAGAGAAAGAAAGAGACACAGAAUCUAAAGCAGA